UACAGAGGGUGCGAGCGUUGUUCGGAAUUAUUGGGCGUAAAGGGCGCGUAGGCGGUGCGGUAAGUCACCUGUGAAAUCUCCUGGCUCAACUGGGAGCUUGCAGGCGAAACUGCCGUGCUGGAGUGUGGGAGAGGUGCGUGGAAUUCCUGGUGUAGCGGUGAAAUGCGUAGAUAUCAGGAGGAACACCUGUGGCGAAAGCGGCGCACUGGACCACAACUGACGCUGAGGCACGAAAGCGUGGGGAGCAAACAGG
rnacentral:rRNA from 1 species